rnacentral:rRNA from 1 species
GAUGAACGCUAGCGGCAGGCUUAACACAUGCAAGUCGAGGGGCAGCACAGUGUAGCAAUACAUGGGUGGCGACCGGCGCACGGGUGCGUAACGCGUAUCCAACCUUCCCGAUACUCUUGGAUAGCCUUCCGAAAGGGAGAUUAAUACAAGAUGGUGUUUCACUUUCGCAUGUUAUUGAAACUAAAGAUUUAUCGGUAUCGGAUGGGGAUGCGUGACAUUAGAUAGUAGGCGGGGUAACGGCCCACCUAGUCUACGAUGUCUAGGGGUUCUGAGAGGAAGGUCCCCCACACUGGAACUGAGACACGGUCCAGACUCCUACGGGAGGCAGCAGUGAGGAAUAUUGGUCAAUGGUCGGAAGACUGAACCAGCCAAGUAGCGUGAAGGAUGAAGGUUCUAUGGAUUGUAAACUUCUUUUAUACGGGAAUAAAACCACCUACGUGUAGGUGCUUGUAUGUACCGUAUGAAUAAGCAUCGGCUAACUCCGUG